UACGUAGGGUCCGAGCGUUGUCCGGAGUUACUGGGCGUAAAGCGCGCGCAGGCGGCGGUGUAAGCAUGGCGUGAAAGCCCCAGGCUCAACCUGGGAGGGUCGUCGUGGACUGCACCGCUUGAGGGCGGUAGGGGCUGGUGGAAUGCCUGGUGUAGUGGUGAAAUGCGUAGAGAUCAGGCGGAACACCCGUGGCGAAGGCGGCCAGCUGGGCCGUCCCUGACGCUGAGGCGCGAAGGCGUGGGGAGCGAAC
rnacentral:rRNA from 2 species